rnacentral:rRNA from 1 species
GAUGAACGCUAGCUACAGGCUUAACACAUGCAAGUCGAGGGGAAACGGCAGCUUAGCUCGCUAAGCUGGACGUCGACCGGCGCACGGGUGAGUAACGCGUAUCCAACCUGCCCCACGGUGAGGGAUAACCCGCGGAAACGCGGCCUAAUACCUCAUGGCCUCCGAGCUUGACAUCAAUCUUGGAGUAAAGAUUCAUUGCCGUGGGAUGGGGAUGCGUCUGAUUAGCUUGUUGGCGGGGUAACGGCCCACCAAGGCAACGAUCAGUAGGGGUUCUGAGAGGAAGGUCCCCCCACAUUGGAACUGAGACACGGUCCAAACUCCUACGGGAGGCAGCAGUGAGGAAUAUUGGUCAAUGGGCGAGAGCCUGAACCAGCCAAGUAGCGUGCAGGACGACGGCCCUAUGGGUUGUAAACUGCUUUUAUAAGGGAUAAAGUGAGUCUCGUGAGACUUUUUGCAUGUACCUUAUGAAUAAGGACCGGCUAAUUCCGUG